CAGCCGCCGCGGGAAUACGUAGGUCCCGAGCGUUGUCCGGAUUUAUUGGGCGUAAAGCGAGCGCAGGCGGUUAGAUAAGUCUGAAGUUAAAGGCUGUGGCUCAACCAUAGUUCGCUUUGGAAACUGUCAAACUUGAGUGCAGAAGGGGAGAGUGGAAUUCCAUGUGUAGCGGUGAAAUGCGUAGAUAUAUGGAGGAACACCGGUGGCGAAAGCGGCUCUCUGGUCUGUAACUGACGCUGAGGCUCGAAAGCGUGGGGAGCGAACAGGAUUAGAGACCCGUGUAGUCCCUGUCUCUUAUACA
rnacentral:rRNA from 1 species